GGGGAGGCUAAACUGCAGUCGAGCGAGCUUGCCUAGAUGAUUUUAGUGCUUGCACUAAAUGAAACUAGAUACAAGCGACCGUCGGACGGGUGAGUAACACGUGGGUAACCUGCCCAAGAGACUGGGAUAACACCUGGAAACAGAUGCUAAUACCGGAUAGCAACACUAGACGCAUGUCUAGAGUUUGAAAGAUGGUUCCGCUAUCACUCUUGGAUGGACCUGCGGUGCAUUAGCUAGUUGGUAAGGUAACGGCUUACCAAGGCAAUGAUGCAUAGCCGAGUUGAGAGACUGAUCGGCCACAUUGGGACUGAGACACGGCCCAAACUCCUACGGGAGGCAGCAGUAGGGAAUCUUCCACAAUGGACGUAAGUCUGAUGGAGCAACGCCGCGUGAGUGAAGAAGGGUUUCGGCUCGUAAAGCUCUGUUGGUAGUGAAGAAAGAUAGAGGUAGUAACUGGCCUUUAUUUGACGGUAAUUACUUAGAAAGUCACGGCUAACUACGUGCCAGCAGCCGCGGUAAUACGUAGGUGGCAAGCGUUGUCCGGAUUUAUUGGGCGUAAAGCGAGUGCAGGCGGUUCAAUAAGUCUGAUGUGGAAGCCUUCGGCUCAACCGGAGAAUUGCAUCAGAAACUGUUGAACUUGAGUGCAGAAGAGGAGAGUGGAACUCCAUGUGUAGCGGUGGAAUGCGUAGAUAUAUGGAAGAACACCAGUGGCGAAGGCGGCUCUCUGGUCUGCAACUGACGCUGAGGCUC
rnacentral:rRNA from 1 species